rnacentral:lncRNA from 1 species
AGGCAACCCAGCACAGGAUAUGGGCUCCUAGAAGCCAGCUCAAGAGCCAGAGACAGGUCCUGAUGCCACUGCUGGGAGCCCCACAAACAGACUAUGCUACACAACUGUCACACACAUGCAGAGGGCCUAGGACUCCAAGAGCUUGGCCCAGUGCUUGGCUGUGGAUCUCUGCAUCUGCUUCCACCAGUUACUGGAUGAAGGCUCUCUGAUGACAAUUAGUGUAAUCACCAAUCUGAUUACAGGAGAAGGCCAGUUCAUGGAUCUACUUUUGAAAUGGAGUUUGCUGUCGUGGUUGUGAGGUGCCAGGUUCUCAGAGGAGGGUGGCACCCACACUUGCCAAGUCUUGGAACUCCUUGCAUCGACUUAUAGAAGCUUGGCUAAACAACUCACAGGAACUUACCUUGGGAAAUUUGUCUGGAUUCUGGGAUGAAAGAAAUAUUCUACUGGAAUUUCUGUCUCCAGACAGCACCAGCCUGUGCUGCCAGCACCCUGUAGGGGUGGGUAAGGGGAGGCCAGAGUCUCAGAAAGGAGCAAGGUUAUGUAGCAGGGAAGAAAAAAAACCCCAAACCCAGCCAUGGAUGAAGCUUCACUAAUUAUUAGACAUAAUACCGUCCCUGUUUCCCUAUUUGAAUUCCUAGCCAUUCUCAACUAGGGGUCCUAAGUAAUGCAGUAUAUUUUAAAACAUGGAGUAAAAGAAAUGAAACUAGACAGAAAAAUGUGAAACUAGAAGUAAAAUGAACACAGGUUCUCAAACAUGCUAACCUUAACUUUCAGUACACUUGCUGGUGUGAAUCACAAAGCCAACCCAGAAGGAAUUUUGCUUUGUUUUGUCACGACACUUACCCAGAAGAUGGAAACUAACCAAGACACUCAGAAAUGUAACUAGUCCUAAUUA